rnacentral:misc_RNA from 1 species
AGUGAGGUUAGGAAAUAAUCCUUCCAGUGAUGAAGUUGAAUCAUCUGCUAAGGGUUUAUUUAAGAAUGGCCGAGCUUUUCUAACUUCAUGGCAGAAGGACUCAACUAUUGCCAGGGAGGUGCCACAUUUCCAAACUGCUAAAGAAAUCUAUAAGAGAGACGGAGAGCUGUUGGAGGCACUCUGUAUUAACUCUGUCUGCGAAAGGCAAGCUGCAAUUUCUAGCAACAGAAAGGGCAUAAUUUUCUUUAGUUGGGAAGAUGGGAUUCCUUUUGGAGAUCAAUCAGAAUAUAUCUGGUCUGAUGCUGAUUGGCCACCAAAUGGUUGGGCAGGUGCUGAAUCAACUCCAGUUCCAACUUGUGUUUCUCCUGGUGUUGGUCUUGGGAGCAAGAAAGGGGCACACCUUGGGUUGGGUGGGGCAACCCUUGGCAUGGGUUCUUUAGCAAGACCAAGGAGAGACUUGACAGGCGGUGGAGCAUUUGGUAUUCCAGGUUAUGCUGGUAUUGGUGCCUCUGGCUUAGGUUGGGAAGUACAGGAGGAUUUUGAGGAGUUUGUUGACCCACCAGCUACCUUGGAAAAUAUAAGUACAAGGGCUUUCUGUAGUCACCCCUCAAGACCCUUUUUUCUGGUUGGAUCCAGCAAUACUCACAUUUACUUGUGGGAGUUUGGUAAGGACAAAGCCACUGCAACUUAUGGUGUGCUCCCUGCUGCAAAUGUUCCUCCGCCAUAUGCCCUUGCAUCAAUAUCAGCUUUGCAGUUUGAUCACUGUGGACACAGGUUUGCUACAGCUGCAUUAGAUGGAACUGUAUGCACAUGGCAGCUUGAGGUUGGAGGAAGAAGCAACAUCCGCCCAACAGAAUCAUCUCUCUGCUUUAAUGGCCAUGCAUCGGAUGUUGCAUAUGUUACCUCAAGUGGAUCAGUUGUUGCUGCUGCUGGAUAUAGCUCCAAUGGUGUUAAUGUAGUUGUCUGGGAUACGUUGGCUCCUCCCACAACUUCACGAGCUUCAAUUGUUCGUCAUGAAGGUGGUGCUCGCUCCAUUUCAGUGUUUGAUCACGACAUUGGAAGUGGUUCCAUAUCUCCCCUUAUUGUAACUGGUGGUAGAGGUGGUGAUGUUGGACUUCAUGACUUUCGGUACAUAGCAACUGGAAGGACUAAAAGGCAUAGGCAUUUUGAUAAUGGUGAUGGAAGAAGCAAUAUGCCUUCUAAUAUGGACUUGCAAGCAGGGGUUGGUAAGAAAGUAGGUGACCAGAAUCAGAACGGGAUGCUUUGGUACAUACCAAAGGCUCACUUGGGAAGUGUCACCAAAAUAUCCACCAUCCCUCAUACCAGCUUAUUCUUAACUGGAAGCAAAGAUGGAGAUGUUAAACUUUGGGAUGCCAAAGCGGCCAAACUGGUUUAUCAUUGGCCCAAGUUGCAUGAAAGGCGCACCUUUUUGCAACCGAGCUCACGUGGUUUUGGCGGAGUUGUUAGGGCUGCAGUAACAGACAUACAAGUUGUUUCUCAUGGUUUUCUUACUUGUGGUGGAGAUGGCUUGGGAAGGUUCAGCUUAAAGAUAACCUGUUUGAGAAAUAAUGAAGUUACUAAGAAGCUCAUGAAUCGGACUCCCCAGUGGUAGCUUGAUGCAAUUUUCCCAUCAGAGACUUUGUUGUUUAUCAUCAACAAUCUGUCAUAUUUGAUCAGUUAUAAAUCUGGAACUUACAUGAAUUUCAAUGACAGACGAAUUUGGGUCAUGUUAUUAGAUCCUUCUCUCGUCUGGUCAUGGGGUGCAAGCGAUUCAGAACACUGGUGAAGUCCAAUGGCUGCAACCCUGAUAUUCUUUUUCACACAUAAUUCAUCAGGUAUCUUAUUGAAUUCGUUGCAAAGUCCAGCGUUUCUGAACAGGAUGAAAUCAGUCACAUUGAUUGACCUGUGCGGUUGGAUCGUUGAUGUGUCUAGGAAUUUUCAUUUGGCCAUCAGUUUCUGCUUGGAGGGGUUCUUUGAGAUUGGCAAAGAAUCAGUGCCCAGACAAUCAUCAUUGUAUAUAUUUUGACGUCAGCUAUUUUCUGCGUGAUGUUAAAAACAGCAGAAUCCGUUUGCAAUUGUUUUUUUAUUUCUGUUUUAUAUAUUUUCCUU